AAAGCCACCUCUGUCUGGAAGGUUCUCACGGGGAGAGAGCUGGUCCUACCACGGGAGCUCCAGAGCAGAGAAUAGCAGCUGAAGGCCUCUCCACUGAACGCUGAAACCUCACCUUCACUGGCUGCUUUAUAAUUAGCAUUUAUAGGUCACCGUGGCUAUGAUGGCUUCUGCAAUUUUUCAGGAACUUUGGCCAGCUCCUGUGCAGUUCAAACUUGUUGGUACCACUGAUCCUUCAACUGAGCCUGCAUACAUGCCCAGUAGGUGCCUUUUGACAUCAGAGGGCCAAAAACCCCACCCUCAGAUGAUGCAAAUGUCACCAUUUUCUGUACACACAUCCUAUGAAAUGCCAUGAAUUCCAGCUAUGCUUGUGCAGAACGAACCUGUUACUUGGUUGUUCCCCACUGCCAAUCACCUUCCCCACACCUUAGACCAUCCACUUCCCUAAUCUAUGAAUAUUCCUAAGGCUUAUCUUCAGGGAGGCAGAUUUGGGAGCUGUUCUCCUUCCUCCUCACUCUGUGCCCUGGCAAAUAAAUCUUUUCUCUUUUGCAAAA
ensembl:lncRNA novel transcript